rnacentral:rRNA from 1 species
CAGCAGCCGCGGUAAUACGAAGGGUGCAAGCGUUAAUCGGAAUUACUGGGCGUAAAGCGUGCGUAGGCGGUUUGUUAAGUCUGUUGUGAAAUCCCCGGGCUCAACCUGGGAAUGGCAAUGGAUACUGGCAAGCUAGAGUGUGUCAGGGGAUGGUGGAAUUCCGGUGUAGCAGUGAAAUGCGUAGAGAUCGGAAGGAACAUCUGUGGCGAAGGCGACUAUCUGGGCCAACACUGACACUGAGGCACGAAAGCGUGGGGAGCAAACAGGAUUAGAUACCCCUGUAGUCCCUGUCUCUUAUACA